rfam:Triticum aestivum genome assembly, contig: Triticum_aestivum_CS42_TGACv1_scaffold_225147_3B
AAAGUACUCCCUCCGUCCCAAAAUUCUUGUCUUAGAUUUGUCUAGAUACUGAUGUAUCAAGUCACAUUUUCUUAUUAGAUACAUCUGUAUCUAAACAAAUCUAAGACAAGAAACUUGGGACGGAGGGAGUAGUUG